AGAAUAAAGAAAUAUAGUUUAGGAAACCUCCACUUAUGAAACUGUGUUCAAUGGAGAAGCCAAAGAUCCAGUCACAGGAAAUCUCUAUCAGUAUAACAGCAAGUCAGGAGCAAGAAAGUGGAAAGUCCCUCAAGAACCCACCAGAAACAAUCUGGAUCUCACAAGCAUAUCUUCGGUGUCUCAGAGUCUCUCUCCUGAAAAGAACAUGCCAAUGAAAUUCCCUAAAGAUCCAUAACUUCUUCAGCCUUUAAAGCCUCAGAGUCUCUCUCCUGAAAAGAACAUGCCAAUGAAAUUCCCUAGAGAUCCAUAGCUUCUUCAGCCUUUAAAGCCAAUCAUUUAAUCAUAACUGAUCUAUUUCUCUACUAGUCUUCAGUGGGAAGAUGGAUUUAGUUUCAGGGAGUGGAGUUCAGAUGGACUUUUGAAUAUGGAUGAAAAGAAAUGUUUUCAGAAUGAAGCCAUGUUUGUUUUUGAAGGCUGUUGAGACAUGGGUUCUCUCCUUAGAAAGACAUGAUACAAUAUCAUUAUAUCACCAUGCCAUAGCUGCCAAGUACCCCAUAUUUCCCGGAAAACCCCCGUUUUUCCUUACCGUUUCCUGGCGAUCUCCCAUUUCAGCUUCUCUCCCAUUAAUCUCCCUUAUUUUGGCUCCUGUCGGCGGCCAUUUUCUGGUGCCGCUUUGCCCAUCUAUGGGCACCAGAAAAUGGUCGCGAGGCACAUAGUCCAAUAGCUCUCCAAUAUCUCUGCUACCUGGUAUCCUUUUUCUGGGGAUGUUAGAAGUUUAUACAACUCCAACGUGUGAUCUACCAUUGAGCUACAGCCAUGUUUCACCUGAAAGGCAUUUUCUUGAUUGUACUAUUACUCCUGGUUUUUGUAUAUCUAAUUCGGAUCAAUGAAACUUUGAAAAGGGCCUGCAUUUUGCUAUGAUUUCCCUGAGCAUCUGAGUGCUUUAUAAAUCAACAGUGUCUAAUCCAAUAACUCUGAUAUGAAAAUGGCAUUUAAUCAUUUUUAAUAAA